UGUGUCUCGCAACCCCCCAGGGAGUCCUGACCCACACUUUCGGAACCCCUGCUCUAGGCCACCCCUGCAUAAGUCAGUGUCUCAGUUGAGUCACCCCAGUCAGAAGAACCUGACUUGCCCCUUUUUUACUCCAAACCCAAUGUGGUGAUUGCAACAUGUUUGUGACUUUUAAGUUGGCAUUUUUGGAAGUAGUUUUCUUGUGUGGAGUCUCUCUCUCUCUUCCUCACAGAGAUUGGGCGGCUCCACCUGCACCUUCACACCUGCACCAGAUUACUGCAAUCACCACCUGCAUGUAAGCCCUGCUGUGAGGCUUCUCCAGUGCCAGAUUAUUCCUGCAUCUGAUGUGUGCCUCCACGAGCCCCAAGUGCUGCCGCCCAAUCUCUGCCACACUGCCACACUCUCUCCCUGGAUUCACUCACCAGCCUCCUCCUCAAGCCCUCAUGUCUCCAGCCUUCACCUCUCCUCAGAUUCCCUCCUCACGCACUGGACCCUGGAUUCCGUCCCUCCACCCUUUUUUCCCUUCAAUAAAUUCCCUUAACUGCUUCA